GCCCUCUUAGCUCAGUGGUAGAGCGCAUCACUCGUAGUCACGUGACCACAUGACGAUCCCAAUGAUGAGGUCGGUUGUUCAAUCCAGCCAGGGGGCA
rfam:Moniliophthora roreri MCA 2997 sctg_0436_0001, whole genome shotgun sequence.